UAUUAUUGACUAAAAUAGAUCCCAAUUUUUGUCAAGGGACUAAUAAAUUGAGUUGCGUUGAGCUCAAUAAAUUAAGUGAGACUGCAGUCCAUAAUAAACCUAACAGCAAGAGAUCCAACAAUAUACCUAAAGUUCAGAUGGGCUGAGUUGGGUCGAAACCUGUAAGCGCUAUGGUUGAAUCCUUCAGUGCGAUGGGUUCGAACUUACUAUCAGUACGUACUUUUGUGAUAAUUAGUAAGCGCUUAUAAUCUAUAGUCAUUACAGUCCUAUAUUGUCACGUUCCGAACCUCUUUGGAAAGCAUUUUCGAAAAAAUCCUUCCAUUUUCAAAACAGAUUCUUGUAGAAAAAGCGUAUAAUUUUAUUUUAAAAAAAAUUUUGUCCGAGACAAGCACAAACCCUCCACACCUACAGAAUAUUCUCUAUCCAUGCGGACAAAAUCUCCCCUAUAUAUGCACGGCGUAAGAGUAUAGAUAUACAACCACAAUCUAUCUGAAUAGCAAGGAUGUAUAAAUACUAACUAUACCAACUACUAAUAACUUCAAAAUCACAAUCAAGAAUUCAUAAACCACUAUAAUAGAAAAACCCAACAUCAAUAGCUAAAUCAAUCUACAUACUCUUAACAUGAUAAGUCACCCACAUUACACAACGACCCAAUUGUAAUAUCAAAUGCACUUACCAAUUUUCGAAAUCUGCCGAUUUUCAUACAAAC
rnacentral:lncRNA from 1 species